UACAGAGACUGCAAGCGUUAUUCGGAUUCACUGGGCGUAAAGGGUGCGCAGGUGGCCAGGUGUGUGAGGCGUGAAAGCCCGGGGCUUAACCCCGGAAUUGCACCUCAAAACUACUUGGCUAGAGCAUUGGAGAGGGGAGCAGAAUUCAUGGUGUAGCAGUGAAAUGCGUAGAUAUCAUGAGGAAUACCAGAGGCGAAGGCGGCUCCCUGGACAAUUGCUGACACUCAGGCACGAAAGCGUGGGGAGCAAACAGG
rnacentral:rRNA from 1 species